rnacentral:misc_RNA from 1 species
AAGUCGUAACAAGGUCUCCGUUGGUGAACCUGCGGUUGGAUCAUUAAUAAAAUUAAUAAGAAAUUGGGAUUGGGAUUUAUUUUCCUUUCCUUUUUUUUUUCAACCCAAUGUGAACCGUAUAUUGUCUUUUGGUGGGGUCAAAAAAGAAAAAGAAACGACUGGGCGAGUAAUCGUCUUUAGUUUAUUUCUCUUUCAAACCGCACCAAAAUUUAUGUUUUAAACUUUUUAUUUUUAUAAUAUGACUUUUUUAAAAAUCUUUUAAAUUUUAUAAUUUAAUAACAACUUUUGGCAACGGAUCUCUAGGCUCUU